rnacentral:rRNA from 1 species
CCCUUAGAUGUUCUGGGCCGCACGCGUGCUACACUGAGUGGAUCAGCGGGUCAGGUUGCGCGAAAGCGUUUCCUAAUCUUUAAAUCCGCUCGUGAUGGGGAUUGACGGUUGCAAUUUUCUGUCAUGAACGAGGAAUACCUUGUAAGCGCGGGUCAUCAUCCCGCGCUGAAUACGUCCCUGCCCUUUGUACACACCGCCCGUCGCUCCUACCGAUUGAGUGGUCCGGUGAACAAUUUGGACUGCUUUGAUUCGAUUAGAAUUUGAAGCGGAAAGUUUAGUGAACCUUAUCACUUAGAGGAAGGAGAAGUCGUAACA